GCAUUAGCAGCUCAUGCUUCAGCGCUCUGCGAGUGUUUAUAGCCCUGUGACUUUAACACUUCAUGACUGAGAGCUGCUGCUCAGCGACUUCACCCACAGCAACCAUGAGUUUGAUCAGCGUCUUCAUCUGCACACUGGCCCUCUGCGCUCGAGGAUCCAGAGGUCAGGUGACUGUGACUCAGAGUCCUGCAGUGAAAUCAGUUUCUCCAGGAGGCACAGUCACCAUCAGCUGUAAAACCAGUACUAAUGUUUACUAUAGUGGUGGUGUUUAUUUUUUGUCCUGGUAUCAGCAGAAACCUGGAGAAGCUCCUAAACUCCUGAUCUAUGCUGCUGACACUAGAGAAUCAGGUAUUCCAUCACGUUUCAGUGGCAGUGGAUCUGGAUCUGAUUUCACUCUGACCAUCAGUGGAGUCCAGACUGAAGAUGCUGGAGAUUAUUACUGUCAGAGUUACCAUGAGAUCAGUAGUACAGAAGUGUUCACACAGUGUUAGAGCGUCGUACAAGAACACAC